AUGAGCCGGCAAUGGAUGUACGAUGACCGAUGCUCUCCCGAGUUCAUUAAUGGUGUGCGUGCUUUUCUGCUUGCGGCUGAGGCAAACAAGUGGGCGGAUGGUUUUAUGCCUUGUCCAUGUGCUGGCUGUAAGAAUGGUCACAAUUACUCUACGUCAAGAACCAUUCACGUCCACCUGUUUGAGUCUGGUUUCAUGCCCCACUAUAAUGUUUGGACCAAGCAUGGAGAAAGAGGGGUUAUGAUGGAAGACAAUGAAGAAGAAGAGGACGACGACAGCUAUCCUGGCCAUGGGUUCCCUGAAUACGAUGAUACAACAAUGAGGGAAGAAGUUGAGCCGGUAAUGCGGGAAGAAGCUGAGCGGGCAAUGCGGGAAGAAGCUAAAGAAGAGGCAUCGGAUGAGCCCGUUGAUGAUCUAGGUCGGGCCAUUGCCAAUGCAAAGAGAAACCGCGGAAGUGAUUUGGAGAAGAAGAAGUUGCAGCGCAUGUUAGAGGAUCACAAAAAAUUGUUGUACCCGAAUUGCGUAGGUGACAAGAAAAAGCUGGGCACCACACUGGAAUUGCUACAAUGGAAGGCAGAGAAUGGUGUAUCUGACAGGGGAUUUGGAAAGUUGCUGGUAAUGAUAAAGAAUAUACUUCCAAAGGACAACGAAUUGCCCGAGAGUACGUACGAAGCAAAGAAGGCUGUCUGCCCUCUAGGGUUAGAGGUGCAGAAGAUACAUGCAUGCCCUAAUGAUUGCAUCCUCUACCACGGUGAGUACGAGGAUUUGAACGCUUGCCCAGUAUGCGGUGCAUUGCGCUAUAAGAUCAGUCGCGAUGACCCUGGUGAUGUCGAGGGCGAGCGCCCUAGGAAGAAGAUUCCUGCCAAGGUGAUGUGGUAUGCUCCUAUAAUACCACGCUUGAAACGUUUGUUCCAAAACAAAAAGCAUGCCAAGGCGAUGCGAUGGCACAGAGAAGACCGUAAGAAAGACGGAAAGUUGAGAGUACCCGCUGACGGGUCGCAGUGGAGAAAAAUCAGAAGUAAGUACGGGAAGGAGUUUGCAGAUGACGCAAGGAACGUAUGGUUUGGUCUAAGCGCAAAUGGCAUUAAUCCUUUUGGGGAGCAGAGCAGCAACCAUAGCACCUGGCAUGUGACUCUAUGUUUGUAUAACCUUCCUCCUUAG
rnacentral:rRNA from 1 species